AGACAUGGACACCUCUGGAGACGGUGGAGAUGAGGACGGAGGAGGAGAUGAGGAUGCAUCUAAGGAUUUAAUAAAAGAAUCUUCUCAUGGCGUUGGAAGGUGAAUGAUCACCAGCCCCACCAAUGCAUCCCCCUUCUACAGUCAAUGGAGGAAGCUCAUGGAAACAUCGAUCAGGGGUCGUGCCAGGCCUGGAUACGGCCAGAUGACCUUCCACACUGCCUAGCUCAAGACAACAUGCCAUGUGAUGUGGUUGAAGUCUCAUGGCCAGACCCACAAAGAUUCAGACUGACACCAGUAAACUCCACUGUCUGUUGAUUUGGUUGAGGAGAUGUUGCAGUUGGUUCCAUCCACCCUCCCCCAUCCA